UGUGCCGAGCCAGACGAGCUUAGUAUUUUGUUGGUUGGUUGCUGGCGCGGUUGUUUGUCAGCUGGGAAGAAUGUUGUUGACCAACCAAAAUUGGUCUGCUGGGGGACAAAAGUCGCCACUUUAAAUAACGCAUUAUCAUAUGGGUCAAAAUGGUCAUACCUUCUCUUCUGUCAGUGGAUCUGUACAAAUAAAGAUGUGGAAGCUCUGUCAUGUCUAUUUGAAAUCGCGCUGUAAUCUUUAAAUAACAGAAAUAACCUGACCAAUAGGAGCUGGAUGGCUAUGAAACUCCACUUCUCUAUCUUUCGUAUAAUGCCCAAUAUUGCGCUCAUUUUUUAUCCCUCGAUGCUGUGUGAAAAGCAACACUGCUACUUUCCAUGCAUACAUACAAACAUAUGAAUAUAUGCCAAUGCGCAUUAUACGAGUGUUGUGUAGACGGGUUGACUACCGGCCGGCACGAACGCCACAGAAAAUCAAACGUUGUCAAAUACGCAAAGUGUUUACUACGAAGUUAGCCAUUAAUAGGAUCUACAGAUGAAAGUACUGAAAUCUCAAAUAUCCAGUUCAGGAGUAAAGUGAAAUGUGAGGAAAUCUCAAUGCGCGGUGUAGCGAAGUGAUUCACUGUUGCUGUGGUGAAGCUGAUGCAACAGGAGAAUAGGCGAAUCGUAAAUUGCGCAAUAAAAAUUUCGAAAGUGAAAAUGGCGAUUAAGAUGGAGCUGAUGAACGGAAGCGCUGUUCGAAUAAUUAAAGUUUCCGCGGUGCUCGAAAAAUUCCAUGCAUGCACUCACAACAGUUGGAAACAAACAUACACACAUACAUUUUGGAAUAAUCGUAAUUUCCACAAAAGGGUCGCUUCUUUUUGUGCGUUUCACUUACACAUUUGGCACCUGCUUUUAAAAUUCUAACGCAUUUAAUAUUGCGUCGAAAUUGAAUAUCACGCGCCCAAAAAUGUCCAAGCAAUCACACCAACAGGACAAUGGCCGUCUCUGGAGGUAGGAUGAAUUGCAACGUUUUGAUUGGAGAUUUAAUCGGGGCCAUUGCAAUCGCAUGUGCCACUUGAGCUUAUCACCAGCCACAAUAAUACCUCACCGAGCAUCAGUUGCUGUGGCAUGCCAUAAUGUACUCGAAUGACCGCCCGACCGGCCGACCGCUUACUUAUUUAGCGCAGCAGCUAUUGCGUUGCUGCCGAAUGGGGGGACUGUAGAUUGGCCCAGCGUCGCUGGCGUUGUGCUUUUUUGUUGUGUCCAUUAUUGGUGCAAGUUUGUAUGUGCGAGUACCUACUACUACUUACCUUUACACAAUCCCGUUUAUCGAGGGUGGAGUCCAAGCAUUGAUGAUUGGCCUACGACCACUGCUGCAAUGUUAUGCCAUUGGUAGAUAAUUUUAUGGGCAUUUUGAGCCUAUAAACGAAAACCGGAAACAAACAAGCGAACGAAUGAAUAAAUGCUCGUGCGCUACUUUAUACGAAUGUUUGUUGUCAUGUUUGUCGAAAUUAUUCGCAUACCUACACAUAAACAAUUAAUUUCGUAAAUUUGAUCCGAUGAGAGGGGAAAAGUAGCGGGUACGAUAAGCGCAGCUGUUGGACGAACUGCUAUAAGUUAUACAAACAAGCCCAUACAUACAUACAUAUGUGUGUGCAUGUUGAAGGCAAGCCACUUCAAUUACACCCAACAAUCAGCUGUAGUUUAGCGGCCAUGCCAGAAAUGUAUCUGAAAAACCUGAGUACCGAAAAAAGUAACAACAAAACAAAAGAAGCUACAAGCAAAUAGCAACACGCAAUGGCACUUACACACAUAUAAAAACCUUGAGAGCACCAACUUCCAGCUACUCGCAUUGCUGCGCGCCCGCUUUCCAAUACACCAAUCGGAAUUGUUGCGUCGGAACGCGGCAUUUAACGUAAACAAAAGACGAGCCCGCAGCGGCAGGCAACACAACCAAUUCAGUAUCCAGCAAAAGCGCAUGCCAUUUUGGAAGCAGGGUUGUCAAUGCUUAGUUCAUAUUUGUAAAUAUUAAAAUGUUGUGGAAACCUUGAACUCCAUUAGGAUUUUAUUAAUAAUUAUUUUCAACUAAAGAACAAAAUUUAUUUAUUAUUUAUUGUUGCAAAAUUUUCU